rnacentral:rRNA from 1 species
AACGAACGCUGGCGGCAUGCCUAACACAUGCAAGUCGAACGAGAACUUCGGUUCUAGUGGCGUACGGGUGCGUAACGCGUGGGAACAUGCCCUUAGGUUCGGAAUAACUCUGCGAAAGGGGUGGUAAUACCGGAUAAUGACUUCGGAGGAAAGAUUUAUCGGCUUUGGAUGGGCACGCGUUGGAUUAGUUAGUUGGUAGGGUAAAAGCCUACCAAGGCGACGAUCCAUAGCUGGGCUGAGAGGAUGAUCAGCCACACUGGGACUGAGACACGGCCCCGGAUCCUACGGGGAGGAGGAGUGGGGAAUAUUGGGCGAUGGGGGAAAACCUGGUGCAGCAAUGCCGCGUGUGUGGUGAAGGGCUUUGGGUUGUAAAGCUCUUUUACCCGGGGUGUUUAUUGCAGUAACGGGAAGAAGAAGUCCCGCUUACUCCGGGG